GCCCUCGUGGCGCAAUGGUAGCGCGUCGCUUUCCUAAGGCGAAGUGUGCGGGUUCGAUCCCCGUCGUGGGUU
rnacentral:tRNA from 1 species